rnacentral:lncRNA from 1 species
CGCAAUUUCCUGUAUUUUCCGGCAGAAAUGGCAGAUGAGGCGGUGUACGCUGCAGGAGGCGAAUCGAACAAGCGCAAGUACGAUGAUUCGCCGCCAGCUGUGGGGCGCAGGUCGACGGGGUUCUCGUCGCCGCCCGAUUCCGCCGCACCUCCGCCUUCGUACAACAACGUUCCGCCGCCCUUGAACGAGAUCGAGCUGGCUAAGCAGAAGGCGCAGGAGAUUGCUGCGAGGCUUCUGAACAACGCUGAUCCUUCGAAGAGAGCGAGAGUUGAGAACGGGGCUGGUGCCGGCGGUGGUUAUGAUGCUGUUGAUACAGGUUGGGGCUUCUUCUGAAAUAAGCCUAUCACUCGCAUUUUCUCUGCAGUUCACCUCUAAUUGCUCUCGUAGGUCUUUGGUAUCCGUAAUUUUGAUGAACACUCCGUUUGAUUGAGCUUAUAGUGCUUGAAACUUAUGGUGAUUACCGAGUUCCAAAAUAUUUGUUGGCAUUGUUGCACAUUUUCUUAAGUUUAUAACGGUGAUAUUAGCUGUACUUUUUUCUUGGUAAUUCUUGUUGCUCAAGGUUUUUAUAUUAUUAAUUGCGAAGCACUUGGCAUCUGUGUGUAUCCUUGCAACAUAUUACAAAUAUAUAGUUAUUGAUUGGGAUUUUCUGAAUGGACGGAGAAGAGGAUAACUGUGUCAUGUUCUUUGGUUUUAGGUGUUAGCCAUAAGCAUCCGGGUUUAGGUCUUGGUGGUCCAGCACAAAGUGCUUCAUAUGGCUACCCAGGUCCAAGCAAGAAAAUCGAUAUUCCAAAUGGAAGGGUUGGCGUGAUAAUUGGCAAAGGUGGCGAGACUAUCAAGUACCUCCAACUACAGUCAGGAGCUAAGAUUCAGGUCACCAGAGACAUGGAUGCAGAUCCAAACUCUACUUCAAGAGCAGUUGAGCUUAUGGGAACUCCGGAUCAGAUAGCCAAAGCUGAGCAAUUGAUCAAUGAUGUUCUUAACGAGGUAUUAUGCAUGUUAGCAAUACCUUCAAUACCUGUUAUUUUGUGUGUUUGUUGCCCUUCUCUAGGAUGUUUAUUUUGACUGCCACUUGUAGAUGUUAAUUUGGUUUGAUAGUCAGCUCUGUAGUUGUGGAAGUUUGAGAAAUUUCUUUGAUGAAUUCUCUGUAGUAACAGUUUGCUUUUCAAUGGGACAGGCUGAUGCAGGUGGUUCUGGCAUAGUUUCCCGACGGUUGACUGGGCAGCAAUCUGGGGCCGAUCAAUUUGUUAUGAUGAUCCCUAAUAAUAAAGUAUGCUAGAUGUUGUCUAUUGGCUCUUAUGAUUAUUUAGCUCAUUAGUUUCCUUACAAUGGAUAAAUUUCAGGUGGACUUGUUAUUGGUAAAGGAGCGAAACUAUAAAAAGUAUGCAAGCUCAAACAGGGGCCCGUAUCCAGGUAGGGUGGCCUGAAUUUUUUUACAAAAUACAUUAUGUUGAUUUUCAUGAAACUGCAGCUUACUGCAUGAAUUCAUCAUCUCAAUGACAAAGAUACUUACUCAUAUGNGAGUUCGGCUCGGGUGAUGCUCGAUAAUGUUGAAUUCGAGUUUGAGCUCGAGCUCGACUCGUUAGAUGUUCGUAUAUAUGAUGUUCAAGCUCGAAUUUGUUAUAAAUAUAAGAAAAUUUUAUUAAUUAAUGUGUUAUUCGAGCUCGAGUUCGACUCAUUUAAAGUUUGUGCAUUAACUCGAUUGAAGGCUCGACUGAAGGUUCGUGAACAGGCUUGCGAACAAUCAAAUCCGAACAUAUUCGCGAGCUCAAUGAGCCGAGCACUGUCAGGCUCGAUAAAAAUCUCGAGCUUGAAAUCAAGCUCGAGCUCGACUCGUAUAUUAUCGAAUCGAGCUCCGAACGAAUUUUUUUCGAACCGAAUCUCGAAUAGCGAUUAGCUUUGUUCAUUUACGGCCCUAGCAAACAUAGAUUGACGUUUGAAUAAAUAAGAAAAUUUAAGGGGUCAACAUGUAAAUUCGACAAAAUCUUUUUGUGUACAUUAUAUUUCCAUCGUAUUUACUCGUAGACCCCUCGUAAAAAAUCUGGAGUGGGCCAUGCCCAUAUAAAUACCUCAUCCUUAAUUCUCUCUCAUCUGCAAAAUCUAGGGUUUUUCCAUCUCCUCUUCCCGUGCGCAAUUUCCUGUAUUUUCCGGCAGAAAUGGCAGAUGAGGCGGUGUACGCUGCAGGAGGCGAAUCGAACAAGCGCAAGUACGAUGAUUCGCCGCCAGCUGUGGGGCGCAGGUCGACGGGGUUCUCGUCGCCGCCCGAUUCCGCCGCACCUCCGCCUUCGUACAACAACGUUCCGCCGCCCUUGAACGAGAUCGAGCUGGCUAAGCAGAAGGCGCAGGAGAUUGCUGCGAGGCUUCUGAACAACGCUGAUCCUUCGAAGAGAGCGAGAGUUGAGAACGGGGCUGGUGCCGGCGGUGGU